rnacentral:rRNA from 1 species
AUUGAACGCUGGCGGCAGGCCUAACACAUGCAAGUCGAGCGGAUGAAGGGAGCUUGCUCCUGGAUUCAGCGGCGGACGGGUGAGUAAUGCCUAGGAAUCUGCCUGGUAGUGGGGGAUAACGUCCGGAAACGGGCGCUAAUACCGCCUACGUCCUGAGGGAGAAAGUGGGGGAUCUUCGGACCUCACGCUAUCAGAUGAGCCUAGGUCGGAUUAGCUAGUUGGUGGGGUAAAGGCCUACCAAGGCGACGAUCCGUAACUGGUCUGAGAGGAUGAUCAGUCACACGGGAACUGGGACACGGUCCAGACGCCUACGGGAGGCAGCAGAGGGGAAUAUGAGACAAUGGGCGAAAGCCUGAUCCAGCCAGGCCGAGUGUGUGAAGAAGGUCUUCGGAUUGGAAAGCACUUUAAGUUGGGAGGAAGGGCAGUAAGUUAAUACCUUGCUGUUUUGACGUUACCAACAGAAGAAGCACCGGCUAACUUCGUG